AGCGCAGGUGGUUUAAUAAGUCUGAUGUAAAAGGCAGUGGCUCAACCAUUGUGUGCAUUGGAAACUGUUAGACUUGAGUGCAGUAGAGGAGAGUGGAAUUCCAUGUGUAGCGGUGAAAUGCGUAGAUAUAUGGAGGAACACCGGUGGCGAAAGCGGCUCUCUGGACUGUCACUGACACUGAGGCUCGAAAGCUGGGUAGCAAAC
rnacentral:rRNA from 1 species